ACGACCUUACUUGAACAGGAUCUGUUCUAUAGGCUCGUACCUCUGUAUUCUUGAUUCCUAAGAAGACAGAAACCCAUGUCUGGUUGAUGAACCAUUACCAUGUAGCCAGAGCGUGAACCAUUACCAUGUAGCCAGAGCGUGAUUAACAGAGCCUUUGGUCUAGACCAUGGCUCAGUAGAGGAUCGUUGCCAGCCAUCUGAUGGGUCUUGGCAUGGCUCCAUGGUUGUCUGACAGACA
rnacentral:snoRNA from 2 species